rnacentral:rRNA from 1 species
CCUACGGGUGGCAGCAGUGGGGAAUAUUGGGCAAUGGGCGAAAGCCUGAUCCAGCCAUGCCGCGUGUGUGAAGAAGGCCUUCGGGUUGUAAAGCACUUUCAGUGGGGAAGAAAGCCUUGGGGCUAAUACCCUCGAGGAAGGACAUCACCCACAGAAGAAGCACCGGCUAACUCCGUGCCAGCAGCCGCGGUAAUACGGAGGGUGCGAGCGUUAAUCGGAAUUACUGGGCGUAAAGCGCGCGUAGGCGGUCUGAUAAGCCGGUUGGGAAAGCCCCGGGCUCAACCUGGGAACGGCAUCCGGAACUGUCAGGCUAGAGUGCAGGAGAGGAAGGUAGAAUUCCCGGUGUAGCGGUGAAAUGCGUAGAGAUCGGGAGGAAUACCAGUGGCGAAGGCGGCCUUCUGGACUGACACUGACGCUGAGGUGCGAAAGCGUGGGUAGCAAACAGGGUUAGAUACCCCAGUAGUC